GGAACAUCGGGCAGAACACUGAACAAAACAGACAUAAAUUUUGUUCUUGUGAAGAGGACAGUAUCGAGGGAAGAACAACAUUUCACAAAUUAUUACAGAAACACAGACACAAACUACUCAUGUUUAGCAGCUUAAAGUAUUUGUUUAUGAAGCAGAAGAACGUAUGAGCAGAUGAAAAGAAGGGAAUGUGACACUUGUGAGCACAAAGUGACCCUAACGCAGGGAAUUCGUUGCUGCAAAUGAACCUUCAUAAAUCUGAUACAGUAAUGGGGUGACACUUACUUCAGAUACCAAAACAUAAAGAAAACAAAUUAUCUCAAGAUAUGAAGUCAUCUGCCUGGAGACUUCCCCACUACAGCCCAGGCCAUCCCUCCUUAGAAGCUCACUCCACGAUUUAUGACACUUACCCUUCAUAUCAUCUUCAAGCAUCUGUCAGAGGCGUCUGAACCAAGGGCGUCUCCAUCUUGAAUAGGGGCUGGGUCAGAUGAGCUUGGGAGCUGCUGUGCUGCAUUGCCAGGAAAUUAGGCUUUCUUAGUCACAGGAUAUUUGCAGUCACCGGAACAAGUUCAUAUGUUUACAGAACCAACCCGGUGUUACCGUGGGUAGCUAGUCAGACAUGAGCAGGGCACGAGAGCCUCCCCCUCCCCACACCAGGAAUAUCAGGCAACCAUCUGGUGAUGGUCAGGCAGUUGUUUAACUUUCUCUCUAAAGUAAUAAUUGGUCACAGCCGGUGCCAGAGAAAGCCCAUCUCUCAAUAGAUAAAAACACCUGAAACUAUUGAUCGGCUUCCCAAUAACAUCUCAGGAGUUGGGCGAGUGGGCUUAAGCACAUGCACUAAGAGGCAAAAUGGUGGAGUUUAACUGGUGUAGGACCUUCUAGGAACACUCAGCCUGUAGGGGAAGAACGCCUCAAAUGAGAAUGCGUACAACUUCAGUAACCACACUGCCCGGGACUCAGAACCCCUCCCAGGUGCUGGCAGGCCCACGCGCGUGCAGACAGCCCAUGCCGAGGGAAGACUAAGGGGUGAAGGGACUCAUAACCCCUCCCAGGUGCUGGCAGGCCCACGCGCGUGCAGACAGCCCACCCCAAGGGAAGACUAAGGGGAGAUGGGAUGCAACACCCUGGAAGCAUGCCAACAUAUAAACCCCAAGUUCAAACUGUGUACUUGUUUUCCCAAGUCGCCCACGCAGCCCUCUUCCAAGUGCACUUUACUUCCUUUCAUUCCUGCUCUAGUGCUUUUCGAUAAACAUUUACUCCUUCUCUAAAACUUGCCUCUCACUCUGCCUUAUGCCCCUCAGCUGAAUUCUUUCUUCUGAGAAGGCAAGAAGUGAGGUUGCUGCAGACCCAUAUGGAUUUGCUGCCACCAACACCAGGAUUAGCAGACCCAGGAGAUAACAGACCCAGAAAAUGUCCUGAUGUCCCAAUAUCUUAAGAACAAGAACAUUCUUAGUUUGAGAAUAAGUUUUGCCUUAAAGAUAAUAAUAUAGAUUCUUGUGGAAGAGAGUAGUAAUGCAAGGAUUAACAAUCCUUCAUUGCAAGCCCUUGUAGCAGAGCACAUCUCACCCAUGAUUUUUUUGCUUUGAUGUGUUAUGUAUAAAUGAGCAUUGUACCUAAGGUGGAUAUGUUCCUUCUUUUGCUUCUGGGAACACCAUGCUCUGUCUGUGGAGUAAGCUUUCUUUUAUUCCUUUACUUUCUUAAUAAACUUGCUUUCACUUUACUCGGUAGAUU